CCUACGGGAGGCAGCAGUGAGGAAUAUUGGUCAAUGGACGCAAGUCUGAACCAGCCAUGCCGCGUGCAGGAAGACGGCUCUAUGAGUUGUAAACUGCUUUUGUACGAGGGUAAACGCAGAUACGCGUAUCUGUCUGAAAGUAUCGUACGAAUAAGGAUCGGCUAACUCCGAGCCAGCAGCCGCGGUAAUACGGAGGAUUCAAGCGUUAUCCGGAUUUAUUGGGUUUAAAGGGUGCGUAGGCGGUAGGAUAAGUUAGGGGUUAAAUCCCGGGGCUCAACUUCGGCAUUGCCUCUGAUACUGUUCGGCUAGAGAGUAGGUGCGGUAGGCGGAAUGUAUGGUGUAGCGGUGAAAUGCUUAGAGAUCAUACAGAACACCGAUUGCGAAGGCAGCUUACCAAGCUACUUCGGACGUUGAGGCACGAAAGCGUGGGUAGCAAACAGGAUUAGAUACCCCAGUAGUC
rnacentral:rRNA from 1 species